rnacentral:tRNA from 1 species
GCCCCGGUGACGGAACCGGCAUACGUGCUUGCCUUAGAAGCAAGAUUUUGGGAGUUCGACUCUCCCCUGGGGCACCA